GAUGAACGCUGGCGGCGUGCCUAACACAUGCAAGUCAAACGCUCGCAAGAGAGUGGCGCACGGGUGAGUAACACGUAGCUAAUCUGCCCUCAAGACAAGGAUAACUGUAGGAAACUACUGCUAAUACUUGAUAAGCUUACGGACUGUAGAGGUCUAUAAGAAAAGAUUUAUCGCUUGAGGAUGAGGCUGCGCGCCAUCAGCUAGUUGGUGAGGUAAAGGCUCACCAAGGCGACGAUCAGUAGCUGGUCUGAGAGGACGACCAGCCACACUGGGACUGAGACACGGCCCAGACUCCUACGGGAGGCAGCAGUGGGGAAUUUUGGACAAUGGGGGCAACCCUGAUCCAGCAAUGCCGCGUGAGUG
rnacentral:rRNA from 1 species